rnacentral:rRNA from 1 species
CACUAUCAUUAACUGAAUCCAUAGGUUAAUGAGGCGAACCGGGGGAACUGAAACAUCUAAGUACCCCGAGGAAAAGAAAUCAACCGAGAUUCCCCCAGUAGCGGCGAGCGAACGGGGAGCAGUCCAGAGCCUGAAUCAGUGUGUGUGUUAGUGGAAGCGUCUGGAAAGGCGCGCGAUACAGGGUGACAGCCCCGUACACAAAAAUGCACAUGCUGUGAGCUCGAUGAGUAGGGCGGGACACGUGGUAUCCUGUCUGAAUAUGGGGGGACCAUCCUCCAAGGCUAAAUACUCCUGACUGACCGAUAGUGAACCAGUACCGUGAGGGAAAGGCGAAAAGAACCCCGGCGAGGGGAGUGAAAAAGAACCUGAAACCGUGUACGUACAAGCAGUGGGAGCCUCUUUAUGGGGUGACUGCGUACCUUUUGUAUAAUGGGUCAGCGACUUAUAUUCUGUAGCAAGGUUAACCGAAUAGGGGAGCCGAAGGGAAACCGAGUCUUAACUGGGCGUUAAGUUGCAGGGUAUAGACCCGAAACCCGGUGAUCUAGCCAUGGGCAGGUUGAAGGUUGGGUAACACUAACUGGAGGACCGAACCGACUAAUGUUGAAAAAUUAGCGGAUGACUUGUGGCUGGGGGUGAAAGGCCAAUCAAACCGGGAGAUAGCUGGUUCUCCCCGAAAGCUAUUUAGGUAGCGCCUCGUGAAUUCAUCUCCGGGGGUAGAGCACUGUUUCGGCAAGGGGGUCAUCCCGACUUACCAACCCGAUGCAAACUGCGAAUACCGGAGAAUGUUAUCACGGGAGACACACGGCGGGUGCUAACGUCCGUCGUGAAGAGGGAAACAACCCAGACCGCCAGCUAAGGUCCCAAAGUCAUGGUUAAGUGGGAAACGAUGUGGGAAGGCCCAGACAGCCAGGAUGUUGGCUUAGAAGCAGCCAUCAUUUAAAGAAAGCGUAAUAGCUCACUGGUCGAGUCGGCCUGCGCGGAAGAUGUAACGGGGCUAAACCAUG